rnacentral:rRNA from 1 species
UCUCCCUGACUCCUUGAGAGUCCUGAAGGAACGUUGAAGACGACGACGUUGAUAGGCCGGGUGUGUAAGCGCAGCGAUGCGUUGAGCUAACCGGUACUAAUGAACCGUGAGGCUUAACCUU